AAAUGGAAGACAAAUCUAGGUCAUGAAGAUACCUCCAAUUAUGAAAGGGAUGACAGAACAACACUACUGAGAUAAGGCAAGUUGCCUCAGGGAAAUGUAUUUUUUCUAAUUAUAAAUUUAUUAAACCCAGUGGUUCUUAAAAGGAGGCAAUUUUACCCCAGGGAACAUUUGGCGAUGUCGAGGCAUUUUAGGUUUCACGACUGGUGAGAAACUAUUGGCAUCUAGUGGAUAGAGGCCAGACAUGCUGCUAAUCAUCCUACAAUGCACUGAACAAACUCCUAUAGCAAAAAUAAUCCAGCCUAAAAUGUCAAUACUGCCAAGGUUGAAAAACUCUGAUAUGAUGCUCUCAAGACUACUAACCAUAUUACAUUGAGCUUGAAAUACCCAAGUUGACACUGAGAGCAGUAGCCUCACCACAAAAUGGUUAUUUUAGUCUUGCCUAGAGAGAAACCAUCCUCUCAGAUGCAAUUCUCUAAAGGAAUUAGGCAAAAACAUUACUUUUGUGGAUGCAGGCAUUUAUUCUUGUAUCCUGAGUUAAAAUCGAGCAAACUCAGCUAUUUUGUGUUUCCUGUGUCAUUAUUUUAUAUCGUGAUUUCAAAAUAGUCUUUUUCAAUCUCUAGCCCAAAAAAAGCACCUAAUAUUAGUUAAAGUCCUAUUGAAAAAUAUAACAAUCCAGAAAGCUAGUCAGAUUUUAAGGUAUUGCUUAGCACUAUCAAAUCAGAAAGUAUAAUCAAGAGCUAUGCUGUGGUUUCAAGUACCCCCUCUGUGUCUGAUAGACUUUUGUGAUUGACAUCAGUCUUCUCUAUAUUUCAAAUAAACGUUAGUAACCAACAUUUACAAAGGAAAAACCGAUUAGGUCAACAAUUGAAAAGGAGUUUCUAAAAUCUCCUGAAAUGAGGGAGUUCCCAUCAUGGCACAGUGGUUAACGAAUCCGACUAGGAACCAUGAGGUUGCGGGUUCGAUCCCUGGCCUUGCUCAGUGGGUUAACGAUCCGGCGUUGCCGUGAGCUGUGGUGUAGGUUGCAGAUGCGGCUCGGAUCCUGCGUUGCUGUGGCUCUGGAGUAGGCUGGCAGCUAUCGCUCCAAUUCGACCCCUAGCCUGGGAACCUCCAUAUGCCACGGGAGCGGCCCAAUGGCAAAAAGACAAAAUAAAAUAAAAUAAAAUCUCCUGAAAUGAAUACAGUGGACUAUGCUGACUAGAAAUAAAAUGUCUAAUGUCACUCAUUCCUACUUUCGAAUCUGUUGUCCUCUUAAUUACAAUGUGGGGGCUUGUAUGCAAAGAUGGCUAGUAUCAAUUUAUUCCUUUCCUACACAUGCAAGCCACUCUCUUAUCAAAUGCAGUCUAUGUCCUCACCCACUUGAGCUUUAGCUGGCUUGGGACUGCUUUGACAGUUAAAAUAUAAGCAGAAAUGAUGUUGCACCUGAGUUGAGGCUGCGUCUUUAGGAAGACUAGUGCAUCUAAGACUGCUUUCUCCUUCUUAGAACUCAGUCUCCAUGCUCUGAGACAGCCAAAGCAGCACCGCAGACAGGUUCAUGUGAGCAAGAAUCUAGGCUUCUAGGCAACAGCCCUGGCUGAGCUACCAUGUGACAGCAAUAAAAGAUUUGUUUACCAUGUGAGUAAGCCACUUAGAACAGCAUCUAUCAGCCUCAUUUGGGCCAACUCAUACCAUAGAGGACAGAGGCAAAUAUACCAGACAUAAUGUUGUCCAAUUAAAGAUUCAUGAGGAAAUAACUUUAUUUGUUUGUUUUUUUCUUUUUACAGCUGUGCCUGUGAUAUGUGGAAGUUCCCAGGCCAGGGGUCAAAUCAGAGCUGCAGCUGUGGCCUAUGCUACAGCCAUGACAACACCAUAUCCAAGGCUCAUCUAUGACUUACACUGCAGCUUGUGGCAACACCAGAUCCUUAAUCCACUGAUCAAGGCCAGGGAUCAAACCUGCAUGCUCAUAGAGACAAUGUCAGGUCCUUAACCACGGAGCCACAAUGGGAACUACUAUUUUUACUUUUCUGAGUUCUACUGAAGUAUAAUUGAGAAAAUUGUAUAUAUUGAAGGAUGUUUUAAUAUGUAUACAUAUGAAAUAAUUAUCACAAUCAAGAUAACUAACAUAUACAUCAUCUCACAUGGUUCUCUGUUUUCCCCAGCUCCUUUGGUGAGAAAAAUUAAGGUCUAUUCUCUUAAGGUUGUGAAGAAAAGGGAAUACUUUUACACUGUUGGUGGGAAUGUAAACUGGCGCAACCAUCAUGGAGAGCAGCACAGAGAUUCCUCAGAAAACUAAGGAUAAAGUUACCAUAUGAUCCAGCAAUCCCACUCCUGGGGAUAUAGCCAGA
rnacentral:lncRNA from 1 species